rnacentral:rRNA from 1 species
GACGAACGCUGGCGGCGUGCUUAACACAUGCAAGUCGAACGGAAAGGCCCUGCUUUUGUGGGGUGCUCGAGUGGCGAACGGGUGAGUAACACGUGAGUAACCUGCCCUUGACUUUGGGAUAACUUCAGGAAACUGGGGCUAAUACCGGAUAGGAGCUCCUGCUGCAUGGUGGGGGUUGGAAAGUUUCGGCGGUUGGGGAUGGACUCGCGGCUUAUCAGCUUGUUGGUGGGGUAGUGGCUUACCAAGGCUUUGACGGGUAGCCGGCCUGUGAAGGUGACCGGCCACAUUGGGACUGCGAUACGGCCCAGACUCCUACGGGAGGCAGCAGUGGGGAAUAUUGCACAAUGGGCGGAAGCCUGAUGCAGCAACGCCGCGUGCGGGAUGACGGCCUUCGGGUUGUAAACCGCUUUCGCCUGUGACGAAGCGUGAGUGACGGUAAUGGGUAAAGAAGCACCGGCUAACUACGUG